rnacentral:rRNA from 1 species
AUACGAAGGGGGCUAGCGUUGUUCGGAAUUACUGGGCGUAAAGCGCGCGUAGGCGGACUGAUCAGUUGGGGGUGAAAUCCCAGGGCUUAACCCUGGAACUGCCUCCAAUACUGUCAGUCUUGAGUUCGCGAGAGGUGAGUGGAAUUCCUAGUGUAGAGGUGAAAUUCGUAGAUAUUAGGAAGAACACCAGUGGCGAAGGCGGCUCACUGGCCCGAUACUGACGCUGAGGCGCGAAAGCGUGGGGAGCAAACAGAAUUAGAAACCCUAGUAGUCC